rnacentral:rRNA from 1 species
GACGAACGCUGGCGGCGUGCUUACCACAUGCAAGUCGAACGAAAAGGCCCUGCUUUGGUGGGUUGCUCGAGUGGCGAACGGGUGAGUAACACGUAAUUAACCUGCCCUUGACUUUGGGAUAACUUCAGGAAACUGGGGCUAAUACCGGAUAGGACCUCCUGCUGCAUGGGGGGGGUUGGAAAGUUUCGGCGGUUGGGGAUGGACUCGCGGCUUAUCAGCUUGUUGGUGGGGUAGUGGCUUACCAAGGCUUUGACGGGUAGCCGGCCUGAGAGGGUGACCGGCCACAUUGGGACUGAGAUACGGCCCAGACUCCUACGGGAGGCAGCAGUGGGGAAUAUUGCACAAUGGGCGGAAGCCUGAUGCAGCAACGCCGCGUGCGGGAUGACGGCCUUCGGGUUGUAAACCGCUUUCGCCUGUGACGAAGCGUGAGUGACGGUAAUGGGUAAAGAAGCACCGGCUAACUACGUG